ensembl:lncRNA LINC02388 long intergenic non-protein coding RNA 2388
GGGGUUCCUCAGUUGCAGUGAGAUGUGAGGCACUUGCAGAGACUCAGUCCACCACCCUGGGCAGCUUUCACCACCCUGGGCAGCUUUUCCGAGACGUAGGGACUGGCUUGCCGUAAUUCAUAGCUUCUGCUGUCCCUUGCUACAUACCUCCUGUUUGGUCACAAACUAGGAUUGCAGCAUCUGCUUGUAGGCUCAAAAUAAAGGGAUGGAGAAAAAUCGACCAAGCAAAUGGAAAACAGAAAAGAGCAACUUGCUUCCUGAAAAUUCACGACUCUCACUCUAUUACCCAGGCUGGAGUGCGGUGGCAUGAUCUCGGCUCACUGCAAACUCUGCCUCCCCAGUUCAAAUGAUUCUUCUGCCUUCUGCCUCAGCCUCCCAAAUAGCUGGAACUACAGCAAGGCCAACUUUUCUACCAGAUAACCCUGACCUCAUCCUGUCAGAAUUGAAUGGACCAAGAAUUGAGCUACCCUAAAAGGCCAGUUUUCUGGAAAUAGUUUGAAGAUACCGACUCAUGGUUAAAUGUUUCACAUUUACCCUCAGAAAUGAGUGCUACUGUUCAGAAACGGAGGUGCCCACUUUGCUUGUGGGAUUUAGGAGGAAAUGCCACACACUGUCAUAGAAAAAAUGGCGUCUCACUCUAUUGCCCAGGCUAGAGUACAAUAGUGCAAUCUUGGCUCACUGCAACCUCCCCCUCCCAGGUUCAAGCCAUUCUCCUGCCUCAGCCUCCCGAGUAGCUAGAACUACAAGCACGUGCACUGUACCCAGCUAAUUUUUUGUAUUUUUAGCAGAGACGGGGUUUCUCCAUGUUGGCCAGGCUGGUCUCGAACUCCUGACCUCAGGUAAUCCACCGCCUCAUCCUCCCAAAAUGCAUUAUCUCUUCCCAAAAUGCAUUAUCUAUUUCAUUAAGAAAAAGGAGAAAGCAACCAUGCUAAGCUUCAAAUAAAAGCAUGUGAGCACACCUGAUGACGCUAGACCCACUGGAAUCUCGCAUAACUCAUCCUGAACGUGUUGGGAAUCAAGUCUCUCAGGAUUAGCCCUGGUAAUCUGAAAGUCACCAGUCAUCAAGAAGUGGCAUCUCUACCAUGUGGUGCAAUCAUAGCCCUGAACUCAAAUUUCUGUCUGAUAUAUUUGAUGUGAUCCCUCCUUUUAUACCCUUUUAACUUCUGCUUGGAGAGACCCACUGACCUUGUAGCUGACUGUCAGAACUUUUCCUUGCCAGGCCAGCAAUAAAUUUGGCAUUGUUUUGGACAUUGA